GACGAACGCUGGCGGCGUGCUUAACACAUGCAAGUCGAGCGGAAAGGCCCUUCGGGGUACUCGAGCGGCGAACGGGUGAGUAACACGUGAGUAAUCUGCCCUUGGCUUUGGGAUAGCCACCGGAAACGGUGAUUAAUACCGGAUAUGACACUGUCACGCAUGUGGUGGUGUGGAAAGUUUUUCGGCCAGGGAUGUGCUCGCGGGCUAUCAGCUUGAUGGUGAGGUAAUGGCUCACCAUGGCUUCGACGGGUAGCCGGCCUGAGAGGGUGACCGGUCACACUGGGACUGAGACACGGCCCAGACUCCUACGGGAGGCAGCAGUGGGGAAUAUUGGACAAUGGGCGGAAGCCUGAUCCAGCAACGCCGCGUGAGGGAUGACGGCCUUCGGGUUGUAAACCUCUUUCGCCUGUGACGAAGCGAAAGUGACGGUAACAGGUAAAGAAGCACCGGCCAACUACGUGCCAGCAGCCGCGGUAACAC
rnacentral:rRNA from 1 species